AGCGAACGCUGGCGGCAGGCUUAACACAUGGAAGUCGAACGCCCCGCAAGGGGAGUGGCAGACGGGUGAGUAACACGUGGGAACGUACCCUUUGGUUCGGAAUAACUUGGGGAAACUCAAGCUAAUACCGGAUAAGCCCUUAUGGGGAAAGGUUUACUGCCGAAGGAUCGGCCCGCGUCUGAUUAGCUAGUUGGUGAGGUAAUGGCUCACCAAGGCGAAGAUCAGUAGCUGGUCUGAGAGGAUGAUCAGCCACACUGGGACUGAGACACGGCCCAGACUCCUACGGGAGGCAGCAGUGGCGAAUAUUGGACAAUGGGGGCAACCCUGAUCCAGCCAUGCCGCUUGAGUGAUGAAGGCCUUAGGGUUGUAAAGCUCUUUUACCCGGGACGAUAAUGACUGUACCGGGAGAAUAAGCCCCGGCUAACUUCGUGCCAGCCGCCGCGGUAA
rnacentral:rRNA from 1 species